ensembl:lncRNA
AAAGUGCAGUUGUUCAUCUUUAACAUUCCUAAUGAAAGGACGCAUAUGCUUUGUGAGAAAUAGUGAUCUAACUUGGGACUCUGUGCUUUCGAGGCAGGCAUUGGAACCACUGAGCUAAAUACUGGGCCCUACAUUUAUGGCUCCCUGAAGAAGUGUUUGUUUCCCAAAUUACAGCAGAGGGCACUAGAGACUACAGCACAGCCAAGUUUGCCAGCACGUGAGCUUCCGCUGCCUCUUACUGCACUGGCCACAGUGUCCUUCACUACAGAUGUUGGCGUUCAAAGGACACAGACAUCUUAAUUUUGAAAACAUGAAACCCCUCCUCCCACACUCAUUCCGUUCGUGUAACACGGUACUGGGAAGGAGUACUGCUUCAGGGACC